UGAGUAGAGGUGGACAUGGUUUGGUUCGGUGCAAUUUUGAGUGGAAUCGAAACCAAAACCAAAACAUUUUGCGGUUCGAUGUGAUGUUGUUUUGAAGCCAAAACCGAAAUGAAACCAAACUGUUUGGUUCGUUUCGGUGUGGUUCAAAUGGUUUCAAUUUGGUUUUUGAGAAAAGAUGUACAUUUUAAAAUUUACAAUUAUCUACGCAUAAGACGAUCUUAUUUUCUACACAAUGCGUUAAUU
rnacentral:lncRNA from 1 species